GACUUGGCAGAAUUAAUGCGUUUGAUUUAGGAUCAAUGUAUAAUAUAAAAAUAUUAGUCG
rnacentral:tRNA from 1 species